rnacentral:rRNA from 1 species
CGGCGGACGGGUUAGUAACGCGUGGGAAUGUGCCUCUGGGUGCGGAACAACCGUUGGAAACGACGGCUAAUACCGCAUGAUGUCUACGGACCAAAGAUUUAUCGCCCAGAGAUCAGCCCGCGUUGGAUUAGCUAGUUGGGGGGGUAACGGCCCACCAAGGCGACGAUCCAUAGCUGGUUUGAGAGGAUGAUCAGCAACACUGGGACUGAGACACGGCCCAGACUCCUACGGGAGGCAGCAGUGGGGAAUCUUGGACAAUGGGCGCAAGCCUGAUCCAGCCAUGCCGCGUGAACGAUGAAGGCCUUAGGGUUGUAAAGUUCUUUCACCGGUGAAGAUAAUGACGGUAGCCGGAGAAGAAGCCCCGGCUAACUCCGUGCCAGCAGCCGCGGUAAU